rnacentral:rRNA from 1 species
CACGUAGGGCGCGAGCGUUUGUCCGGAAUUAUUGGGCGUAAAGAGCUCGUAGGCGGCCUGUUGCGUCCGCUGUGAAAGCCCGGGGCUUAACCCCGGGUCUGCAGUGGAUACGGGCAGGCUAGAGGUAGGUAGGGGAGAAUGGAAUUCCCGGUGUAGCGGUGAAAUGCGCAGAUAUCGGGAGGAACACCGGUGGCGAAGGCGGGUCUCUGGGCCGAUACUGACGCUGAGGAGCGAAAGCGUGGGGGAGCGAACAGG